rnacentral:tRNA from 1 species
GGUGCUGUGGUGCAGCAGGUUAACACCCUGGCCUGAAAUGCCAGCAUCCCAUAUGGGCGCCGGUUCAAGACCCGGCUGCCCCCC